GGGGGGAGGCCGGAUCCUGGGCCCUGUCCCGCGCCCUGUGCUAGGGGCCUGCGCUGGUGAAUUCGCGCCUCCGCCCCGCAGCCCCCU
rfam:Canis lupus familiaris chromosome 25, whole genome shotgun sequence.